rnacentral:rRNA from 1 species
CGCGGCCUAUCAGCUUGUUGGUGGGGUGAUGGCCUACCAAGGCGACGACGGGUAGCCGGCCUGAGAGGGCGACCGGCCACACUGGGACUGAGACACGGCCCAGACACCUACGGGAGGCAACAGUGGGGAAUAUUGCACAAUGGGCGCAAGCCUGAUGCAGCGACGCCGCGUGAGGGAUGACGGCCUUCGGGUUGUAAACCUCUUUCGCCAGGGACGAAGCCUUUUGGGGUGACAGUACCUGGAGAAGAAGCACCGGCUAACUACGUGCCAGCAGCCGCGGUAAUACGUAGGGUGCGAGCGUUGUCCGGAAUUAUUGGGCGUAAAGAGCUCGUAGGCGGUUUGUCGCGUCGGCCGUGGAAACUGGAGGCUUAACCUUCAGCGUGCGGUCGAUACGGGCAGACUUGAGUUCGGUAGGGGAGUCUGGAAUUCCUGGUGUAGCGGUGAAAUGCGCAGAUAUCAGGAGGAACACCGGUGGCGAAGGCGGGACUCUGGGCCGAUACUGACGCUGAGGAGCGAAAGCGUGGGGAGCGAACAGGAUUAGAUACCCUGGUAGUCCACGCUGUAAACGUUGGGCGCUAGGUGUGGGUGACAUUCCACGUUGUCCGUGCCGUAGCUAACGCGUUAAGCGCCCCGCCUGGGGAGUACGG